ensembl:lncRNA
GAUUUUGUGAGAUUUGAAAGCGUCCGUGCCCAGCGUCUGCGUCUGAAUAACGCUUUGGGGAACUAGUUGGGACACGCUGCCUGUUAAUGAGAACCACACCAGUGCUGAAAGCUCUAGCAAUGCGUACGUGAGCUCUUGCCAAGCAGCUCUGACAUCCCCAUGAUCUGAAAUCUGAAAGCCACUGGCGUUUUUUUUUUUUUCCUUUUCUUUAUUUUUUCAUUAAAAAAUCCCACUAAAGUUGUCAAAACUGUAGAUCUGACCAAUAACAUUCAGACUUCUGAAUGGAUCCAAGAAGGUCAAAUCUUCACUAAGUUUUUCCGUAUCGAGAACAUGUUGCAGUGUCUCACGGAACCUGCAGACCCAGAUCAGCCGUCCAAAGCACCCACCUCCCCUUCUCCCACUGUGCAGCAGCACUGGGUGGUUCAGGGUGUGCAGACCCUGAACCGCAGUCCUCCUGCAGCACAGGUGGGGGUGCAAUGCACCGUGGGGUGAGUGGCAGCAGGGAGCUGCUCGCUGCUUUGCGCACAGACUGCGUUUCGGUUCAGGACUGUUUUUUGUAACGCCGGGGAAGACAAAAAAGGCUGAAGGGUGGAGCUGUGCAGUGGAGACAGGACAGGGGAUGGACGAAAAGGUGGGGGCUACGCAGAAAUGGCACGGAGCGCUGACCAGGAACAGCUACAAGUUUAGAUGAGAGUGAAAGCCAGCGGGGGAAGGGUACAGGAGUCUAACAGAGGGACAGUGCUGGUGGGUCUCCUGCAGAAUCUGGAAUAAAACACCGGAGUUUUGAAACACUUAGCAUUCUGCUAAGCAAAGGACUAUGGUAGCAGCUCAAAACAUGCCUGAGAGGGGCUCUUCUGAAAUGCCUUUGAUACCCAGUAAGAAGGCAGUGCACUGAAAUCAGCAGCUGAGGAUUCUCCGUACAGUAUCAUUUUCUUGGGAAAAAAAAAAAAAAAAAGUCUUAGAACUACAACUCAGACAAAUUAUUCUUGAGCUACUGCAUGUCUCCUUUGAAUUGCAAGGGAAAUGGCCCAAGAAGCAGCUUCCCUACUUCAGACAUCCACAUCCAAGCUGAAGAGACAAGGAGGCAGACAAUGAAAACCAAGAAGAAAAGGUUGUGGCACUCGGGAUGUGGGAUCGGAGAAAGGCUGAUGCUUCAUCCUGGAAGUCUCACUGUUUUUGUUUAAUUAUAUGGAUAUUCUCUUGAAAAUACAGUAGAAUGAAAACACAAGAAAAAAAAUGAAGAAUGUAUCUGCUGCAGCUAUAUAUACAUAUAUAGCUAUACUUCUUUUUUUUUUUUUCCUCAAAGUAAGUACUGACUCCAUAUUGAACAUAAUGUAAACUUGAAGCACAGAAGUAAUGAAGUCUUUAUUAUUAACAAAAUAGCAUUGGUUUUAAAGGCAAAACAUAGCUAAGCUAAGGAAAGACUAUACAAACAUUGUAGCACAAAAUUUGUCAUGGGCUUUUCACAGAAUCACGGAAUUGCCAGGGUUGGAAGGGACCCCAAGGAUCAUGAAUCUCCAACCCCCGUGCUGCAUGCAGGGCCACCAACCUUCCCAUUUAAUUCUAGACCAGGCUGCCCAGGGCCCCAUCCAAUCUGGCCGUGAACACUUCCAGGGACAGGGCAUCCACAACCUCUCUGGGCAGCCUGUUCCAGCACCUCAUCACUCUCUGUAAAGAACUUCCCCUCAAGAAAAAUAGUUAUGAAAGGCAUUUUAUAAUAGUAAGUUUACACCUCCAAAACAGAUGGAGGGAGCCUUCUGUGUCUCCAGAUACACUAAAUAUAAUAAAUAUCAUCUCUAGAAAAUGUAAUAGGAAGUU